GAACUUGAUCAGUCCCCUGAGGGAUGCUGUUGAUGACGACCGCAGCUACUAGGCUACUUCCAUCCACUAUUCGUAUUUUGAGCUUUGGAUGCUUUUGAAGGUGAUUGGCUCUGUCACUAUAGAAGCAUGAUGGUGGGAGUGAUAACGAGCAUACAAAAAAUGGUGAUGCAAAACCCUGUGGAACCAGUAAUAGAGGAACUCGACAGGACCCAAAUGGACCAGAAAUGCGAUAAUUAUGCCUUUGGUGUUCCACCAAGGGAGGUGUCCGGCUCCAGGAAAUAAUAACUCAAGGUGCAAGCUAGUAAACCUCCAUGUGCACUUGCAGUAUUGACCGAAUCCCGGCUGCUGAAGCUUUUCAACACUGUCAAUUUGCAACUGUGCUCUGUGGGCCUUUGGGACUCCUCAACUGCUUAGUUUUCAGAGUUUCGACAAAUCUUUUUUUUUUUUUUUUCUUCAUUGGAAGUUCGUCUAACCUUUGCAUCAACUUAAGUUGUGUACAUGAUAUAUUUUUUUCCAGGUAGCAGCAUUUGCUCAUUUCAUUUCAGCUGACUAUGAGAAAAUGAGCUCUAUGAUUUGGGUUGCAUCUUGCA